ACAUGCAAGUCGAGCGGACAGAUGGGAGCUUGCUCCCUGAUGUUAGCGGCGGACGGGUGAGUAACACGUGGGUAACCUGCCUGUAAGACUGGGAUAACUCCGGGAAACCGGGGCUAAUACCGGAUGGUUGUUUGAACCGCAUGGUUCAAACAUAAAAGGUGGCUUCGGCUACCACUUACAGAUGGACCCGCGGCGCAUUAGCUAGUUGGUGAGGUAACGGCUCACCAAGGCAACGAUGCGUAGCCGACCUGAGAGGGUGAUCGGCCACACUGGGACUGAGACACGGCCCAGACUCCUACGGGAGGCAGCAGUAGGGAAUCUUCCGCAAUGGACGAAAGUCUGACGGAGCAACGCCGCGUGAGUGAUGAAGGUUUUCGGAUCGUAAAGCUCUGUUGUUAGGGAAGAACAAGUACCGUUCGAAUAGGGCGGUACCUUGACGGUACCUAACCAGAAAGCCACGGCUAACUACGUGCCAGCAGCCGCGGUAAUACGUAGGUGGCAAGCGUUGUCCGGAAUUAUUGGGCGUAAAGGGCUCGCAGGCGGUUUCUUAAGUCUGAUGUGAAAGCCCCCGGCUCAACCGGGGAGGGUCAUUGGAAACUGGGGAACUUGAGUGCAGAAGAGGAGAGUGGAAUUCCACGUGUAGCGGUGAAAUGCGUAGAGAUGUGGAGGAACACCAGUGGCGAAGGCGACUCUCUGGUCUGUAACUGACGCUGAGGAGCGAAAGCGUGGGGAGCGAACAGGAUUAGAUACCC
rnacentral:rRNA from 1 species